AUUGAACGCUGGCGGAAUGCUUUACACAUGCAAGUCGAACGGCAGCACGGACUUCGGUCUGGUGGCGAGUGGCGAACGGGUGAGUAAUGUAUCGGAACGUGCCCAGUCGUGGGGGAUAACGUAGUGAAAAUUACGCUAAUACCGCAUACGAUCUAUGGAUGAAAGCGGGGGAUCGCAAGACCUCGCGCGAUUGGAGCGGCCGAUAUCAGAUUAGGUAGUUGGUGGGGUAAAGGCCCACCAAGCCAACGAUCUGUAGCUGGUCUGAGAGGACGACCGGGCACAGUGGAACUGAGACACGGUCCAGACUCCGACGGGAGGCAGCAGUGGGGAAUUUUGGACAAUGGGCGAAAGCCUGAUCCAGCCAUUCCGCGUGCAGGAUGAAGGCCCUCGGGUUGUAAACUGCUUUUGUACAGAACGAAAAGGUUUCUACUAAUACUAGGAGCUCAUGACGGUACUGUAAGAAUAAGCACCGGCUAACUACGUGCCAGCCGCCGCGGUAA
rnacentral:rRNA from 1 species